UACGGGGGGGGCAAGCGUUGUUCGGAAUUACUGGGCGUAAAGGGCGCGUAGGCGGGUGGACAAGUCUCUCGUGAAAGCCCACGGCUCAACCGUGGAAUUGCGGGAUAUACUGUCUGUCUUGAGUCCGGGAGAGGAGGGUGGAAUUCCCAGUGUAGCGGUGAAAUGCGUAGAUAUUGGGAGGAAAACCGGUGGCGAAGGCGGCUCUCUGGAACGGUACUGACGCUGAGGCGCGAAAGCUGGGGGAGCACACGGG
rnacentral:rRNA from 1 species